GGGGCAUCGUCGCCCAUCGCAGAUCGCCGGCGAUUGGUCCUCGGCAGCGACGGCGAAUCGCCAACGGCGCACUGGCCUGCGCACACUCAUCGGCAAAUCGGCUUCACGGCGGCAAUUGCAACAGCGAACCCAUCGUCAGUGUUCUUCCUGAUCUCUCUUGAUUCCCGAUUUUCCCCGAUUGUCAAUUGGGAAUAGAGGAUGAUUAUCGUUAAUCCUUAAUUUUUCGACUGGUAUGUCGAAGAAUUCAGUUGAAUUUGACUUACGAUUUGCGUUGUUUUGCUAGAAAACUUGGCAGUGCUAGUUGGCACAAAAGAGGCGCUAGAGAAUGAAGGUGAUUUUUAUGCAUUAUUAUGCUUAAAUUUAUAACCCCGCAAAUAAAAAAGAACAUUCAAAUUUACAAGUAUCCGCCAUCCACUAUCUAAUAUGCAUAACUUUUGGUUUGUGGAGUUAUAUGUGUGAAAGAUGAAGAACAAGCGUGGUGAUUUGAAUGAGAUUGGAAACGCUUGUACGACAGAGCUUCAAAGGCACACAAGGUAACUUCGACCACAAUGCCGACAGGGAAGUCUCUUUGAGGUUGAAGAUCAAAAUGUGAGCAAUCCUCCUUGUUCUUGCAACGUAACUAAAUUGUUAGAAAUGUUUGUCGCUACAAAGAAUAGUUUGUAGCUUCAUUAUCAUUAUUGUGAAAUUUUAUGUCUUAAAUCGUUGCACUACAUUUAUUUAUUUUUU
rnacentral:lncRNA from 1 species